AAUUUAGUGCAUUAUAUUGAAUUUGUACUUUUCUUAUCCAGAUAUUGAUAUUGUAUGGUAUGAAUGUUUUAAUGUUGUAUUUGAUUGUGUUUUGAAAAUUUUAUUUUGAAAAUUUUGAUUUUACUAUAAUAUAUUUUGAAAUAUGAUAAAGAGAAAUCAUUAUUUCGAGUUCGGGUUUUCGAGUUCGGGUUCGGGUUUGGGUUCGGGUUCAGGUUUCGGGUUUUUGGUUGGGUUCGGAUAUAGGUAUGGAUUUUUAAAACCCGUCGGGUUCGGGCCCGGGUUAGGGUUUUAAUUUGGUUUUCGGGUUGAGGUUCGGGUUUUUGAAAACCCGACCCAAACCCGACGGGUUCGGGCCCGGGUUAGGGUUUUAAUUUGGUUUUCGAGUUCAGGUUCGGGUUUUUGAAAACCCGA
rnacentral:lncRNA from 1 species